AUGUCAGAAAUCGUCAACAACCUCCUCGGCAAACUCGCCGACCUACUGGGCGACGAGUGUCAGAAGCUCAAAGGGGUGGAGCAUCAUGUGCAGUUCCUCGAGGAUGAGCUCAGCGCCAUGAAAGCUCGCCUCGAGGAGCUGGGGCCAAGGGAUGAACUCGAUCCCUCGACGAAGGACUGGCAGGGCCAUGUCAGCGACAUGGCCCACAACAUGGAGGAUUGCAUUGAUGACUUCAUUCUCAAUCUUAGAAGUGUCAAUGCCAAUGCAGGUUUUAUUGAGAAGGUCACUCAAUUUCUCAAGAACCUGUGGGUGCGUUAUCAGUUUACAAGCCAGAUUCAAGAGCUCAAGGAUCGUGCCAUAGAGACGAAUCAUCGACGCAAAAGGUACAAGCGUGAUGAUAGCAGUAACUCUAGCUCUGACCUUGUGGCUGUCGAUCCUUGGAUGCCGGCACUCUACAGAGAGGCAGCCUGCCUUGUGGGUAUUGAUGCCCCAAGGGAAGAGCUUGUCCGUUGGCUGACAGAUAGUGAGCAAGAACUCAAGGUGGUCUCUAUUGUGGGAUUCGGAGGUCUUGGUAAAACCACACUUGCCAAACAGGUGUAUGAUAAGAUUGGUGGACAAUUCAAUUGUAAGGCAUUUGUGUCGGUUUCCCAGAGACCAAACAUGGCAAGGCUCUUGACUGGGCUACAAUCAAAGCUCAAGAGAACAGAGCAUUGCUGCACUCAGGAGGUGCAAGAGGUGCAAGACAUCAUCAGCAAGCUUCGAGAGCAUCUCACACACGAGAGGUACUUCAAAUAG
rnacentral:rRNA from 1 species